GACGAACGCUGGCGGCGUGCUUAACACAUGCAAGUCGAACGGAAAGUCCCUGCUUUUGUGGGGUGCUCGAGUUGCGAACGGGUGAGUAACACGUGAGUAACCUGCCCUUGACUUUGGGAUAACUUCAUGAAACUGGGUCUAAUACCGGAUAGGAGCUCCUGCUGCAUGGUGGGGGUUGGAAAGUUUCGGCGGUUGGGGAUGGACUCGCGGCUUAUCAGCUUGUUGGUGGGGUAGUGGCUUACCAAGGCUUUGACGGGUAGCCGGCCUGAGAGGGUGACCGGCCACAUUGGGACUGAGAUACGGCCCAGACUCCUACGGGAGGCAGCAGUGGGGAAUAUUGCACAAUGGGCGGAAGCCUGAUGCAGCAACGCCGCGUGCGGGAUGACGGCCUUCGGGUUGUAAACCGCUUUCGCCUGUGACGAAGCGUGAGUGACGGUAAUGGGUAAAGAAGCACCGGCUAACUACGUG
rnacentral:rRNA from 1 species